GGGACAACCCGCCGAAAGGCGGGCUAAACCCGCGUACAUGCCACCGGGGCAUCCCGGAGGCAGGAAAGGCUUCGGCCGGACAGGGAUGGGCAUGCGGCGCAUUAGGCAGUAGGCGGGGUAACGGCCCACCUAACCGACGAUGCGUAGGGGUUCUGAGAGGAAGGUCCCCCACACUGGUACUGAGACACGGACCAGACUCCUACGGGAGGCAGCAGUGAGGAAUAUUGGUCAAUGGUCGGGAGACUGAACCAGCCAAGCCGCGUGAGGGAUGAAGGUACAGAGUAUCGUAAACCUCUUUUGUCAGGGAACAAAGGCGGGGACGUGUCCCCGGAUGAGUGUACCUGAAGAAAAAGCAUCGGCUAACUCCGUGCCAGCAGCCGCGGUAAUACGGAGGAUGCGAGCGUUAUCCGGAUUUAUUGGGUUUAAAGGGUGCGCAGGCGGUCUGUUAAGUCAGCGGUCAAAGCCCGGGGCUCAACCCCGGCCCGCCGUUGAAACUGGCAGUCUCGAGUUGGAAAGAAGUAUGCGGAAUGCGCGGUGUAGCGGUGAAAUGCAUAGAUAUCGCGCAGAACUCCGAUUGCGAAGGCAGCAUGCCGGCUCCACACUGACGCUGAGGCACGAAAGCGUGGGUAUCGAACAGGAUUAGAUACCCUGGUAGUCCACGCAGUAAAC
rnacentral:rRNA from 1 species